rnacentral:rRNA from 1 species
GCUGUACGCGGCUGGGCUCUCGGGCGCAGUGCUGCUGAGGCUGGAUUAUUUAUUCACCCUUGUCUUUUGCGCACUUGUUGUUUCCUGGGCGGGUUCGCCCGCCGCCAGGACCACACCAUAAACCUUUUUUUAUGCAGUUGCAAUCAGCGUCAGUACAACAAAUGUAAAUCAUUUACAACUUUCAACAACGGAUCUCUUGGUUCUGGCAUCGAUGAAGAACGCAGCGAAAUGCGAUACGUAGUGUGAAUUGCAGAAUUCAGUGAAUCAUCGAAUCUUUGAACGCACAUUGCGCCCUUUGGUAUUCCAAAGGGCAUGCCUGUUCGAGCGUCAUUUGUACCCUCAAGCUUUGCUUGGUGUUGGGCGUCUUGUCUUUUGGCUCUUUGCCCAAAGACUCGCCUUAAAACGAUUGGCAGCCGGCCUACUGGUUUCGCAGCGCAGCACAUUUUUGCGCUUGCAAUCAGCAAAAGAGGACGGCACUCCAUCAAGACUCCUUCUCACGUUUGACCUCGGAUCAGGUAGGGAUACCCGCUGAACUUAAGCAUAUCAAUA